rnacentral:rRNA from 1 species
GUCGGUGGCGUUUGAGUUGAGGUCACACCUGUUCCCAUGCCGAACACAGUAGUUAAGCUCUUCUUCGCCGAAAAUACUUGGAUGGUAACGUCC